UUUCAGUUUAGCCAAUCAGAAGCUUCAGUCCGCCUCCCAGCGGCCCACUGACUGGGCACGUUGGUGAGAGGUUAAGGGACAAGACGCAAUGUUAGCUGAGCACAGCGUGUUUAUCAAAGUGGUAAGAAACUCGGGUUAAGCAAUGGAGUAACUCACGAAAGUUAAUGUUGUGUUUACGGUUGUUAAUUCAUACUGUAUUGUUACCACAUAAAAUCACGGAGUGGAUAGAAAUAGAAGAGAACACCGUGCCGUUACAGGUCGAGCACUGAGACCAGACGCCAUUUUCCAAGCUAAUGUCCUAAUUCAUUGCACUGAUCAGGUUCUUUUUAGUUGGAUUGAUUCUCCCGAGCUGAGCCGAGACUUUGGAGAAGAUCUCGGAACCAUUGGAGGAGUUUUGAGAGACGAUUCCAGAGAAAACCUUUUCCAGUAUUGGAUAGCUAGCCCCUCCCACAUGACACCGAACCUGAGAUACCGAGCCUGAUGCCUGCAAGAAGGAGGCGAGAACACUCAAGUAUUCCACGCCUACUUCAAGUGCGGUAGGAUUGAACUGUACACACAUAUAUAGCUCCGGGAAUAGCUAACAUACAAACUUACACUGGAGAGUGAACAAGAACUGUGACUCUUACAGAUAUUUCAAAAAGACCUGGGUCUAACUUUAUUUUUUUGAAUCUGCGCUAGGCCUGCAUGGUAUGAUGAAAAUUUGCGAUGUGCGAUGACACUUUUCAAUAUUGCAAUGAUGAUGCAUGCAUGCAUACAUGCAAUAAAUAAACAAAUAUCGAAGUGUGCAUAUACAGUUUUGCUGAGCGAAGCUGAAUAAAGAUUACAGACAAUGGUCACUAUCAAUCUUCUCCUCUGUCCUCCUCUCUCUGCUGCAGGUAACACUGCUGAGGGGGGUGGCUGCUGUCUCAGGCUGUAGUUAUAAGUUUAUAAAGGUGUGCAUGAAUUGCAGUCUACACACAGAAAGUUUUCCUUUUAUUUUGUUCAUAACCAUUCACUAUUAGCUUAACGUUAGCAUGCGGUGCUCGUGUAAAACAAACCGCAGUGGACGGGACACGUUGAAAAUGUGGUUUACUACAUGAUUAAAUCUUGUUGAACAGGUGGUGUGAUGAAGGACGCUAAUUGCUUUUUUACUCGCAAAGGUUGUGAUGACACUCAGAGCUACGACCGUAGUUGUUGUCGGCUCCGUGCUGUCUGCUGAGUGUGUAUGAGAGGCUGCAGCCUGACACCAAAAUGCAGUAGUUUUUUCUGGUUCAUUUGGCUCAGGCGCUGUGCCUUGAAAACCCUGCGUACAUGGCGUAUUAAAAUGAAAUGAUUUUUUCUAAUGUAUCGCAUCUCAGUCAGUCUUUUGCAAUGUGUUUAUUGCACAUGUUCAUAUCGCGAUGGCGAAGAAAAUAAGAUUAAUUGGUCAGCACUAAUAUGCACACAUUUUUUUUGUUUAUUUUUUUUACAUGGGGAAUAUGAACAAAUAUAUAUUGGAACUUAAAUGAACCUGCUUACCGUUCAAUAUAAGCAGUCAAACUCUACAGCCGUGCCCUGUGUCUCUAUUUCACUAUUAUCUCUAUUAUUUUGGCUCAUGUCGUUCCUAAAGUCUUCUGAAUCUGGUCCAAUCUUCACAGUUACUGUUAUUAUUAUUAUCUUAUACUGUACUUUGUGCUAAGACAUACUGGAUACAUGUGCCACCAAGUCACUCUCCAUUACCCUCUGUAAAAAAAAAAAAAAAGGAACACUUUGCUUAGAUUGGGACAUCCAAUGAAUUUAUAAGCUAAAGGCAGGUUUUUUGUGUCCUCAGUGUGGUCAGGAGAGGAUCUGUAUUACUGACUGCAGCACUCAGCUUUUCACCACAGCAGAUCCAUAAAUAAACCAACGCUGUUUUCAGUAAGCCUACCUUACGUGGAGUAAUCUGCUUAUAAAACAUAAGCUGGAUGUGUAUAUAAUGAAUAUUUUAGAACACAGAACUUUUUUCCCAUGACCUUUUGGUCCCCCACCUGAUGUGUGAAGCACUGAUUGCUGAAGAUUCUUUCAGCCACAGCCUGUUACACACACGAUUACAUCUGAUUGUGGUUAAUUUCAUCAUCAUCAUCAUCAUCAUCAUCUACAAUCAUGGAGCCUCCAGUGGAAUAACAAAACAAGAUGAGGUUGAAAGCUCCAGAGUUUCCUCUCAGUUGAGACUCUGACACGCAGAUGAGGAUAUUUGCUGGGGUAAUUUUGGUGCUUAGCUGCCACCUCAUGCUAGAAGAACAAAUUACAGCAGGUUGGCAGCUUAAUACCACACCACUAAAUGACCACAAUGUGAAGACAGCACUGUAUUAUGGAUCUGUUCCAGUUUAAUUGAAUACAAGUGAAAAUCCUGAAGCUACAAGUAAAGGGUCCAGGGUCAUGCAAUUUCUCCUAAACUGGAGAUAUGCAGAGAGAUUGCAUGAUCUUCUACAUGUUGAACAAAAAAUAACUCUUGUAUAACUCUUAAGAUCAAUUUGAAAAUGAGUUGUGUCACUGAGCAGUAACAGCAGCAAAUUCCCAUGAAAAGGUGAUAUUUUGGAGAUACAUUUUCACCAUAUCAUAAAAAGCAGCUAUAUUUUAUAAGUAGCAGGGCAAAUUGACAUGUAGUAGAUGAAAACUAGAAAGUCUCCCAAAGUGGAAAUACUCAAGUAACAUGACCUCAAAACCAUACUGAAAAAAUGUAUACAGCAAUAAAAAACUCAAGAAACUUAUUUUACAACAAUGUUAAAGAACACAUUUAAAAGUGCAUGGAGUUAGACAGCAAAAGCCUGACAAGUGUUCAGAUCCAUGGAGAGUUACAGAUACUGUAUAAGUAUAAUGUUUUAAAAACCAGCAGUAAAAUCUUUAAAUAAAAUUCUGAAAGUGGCUACAGUGA